rnacentral:rRNA from 1 species
GAUGAACGCUAGCGGCAGGCUUAACACAUGCAAGUCGAGGGGUAGAGGAAGCUUGCUUCCUUGAGACCGGCGCACGGUGCGUAACGCGUAUGCAAUCUACCUUAUACAGGGGGAUAGCCCAGAGAAAUUUGGAUUAAUACCCCAUAGUAUAAUUGAAUGGCAUCAUUUAAUUAUUAAAGUUCCAACGGUAUAAGAUGAGCAUGCGUCCCAUUAGCUAGUUGGUGUGGUAACGGCACACCAAGGCGACGAUGGGUAGGGUCCUGAGAGGGAGAUCCCCCACACUGGUACUGAGACACGGACCAGACUCCUACGGGAGGCAGCAGUGAGGAAUAUUGGUCAAUGGGCGCAAGCCUGAACCAGCCAUGCCGCGUGCAGGAUGACGGUCUAUGGAUUGUAAACUGCUUUUGACAGGAAGAAACACUCCCUCGUGAGGGAGCUUGACGGUACUGUAAGAAUAAGGAUCGGCUAACUCCGUGCCAGCAGCCGCGGUAAU